rnacentral:rRNA from 1 species
CCUACGGGUGGCAGCAGUGGGGAAUAUUGGACAAUGGGGGCAACCCUGAUCCAGCCAUGCAGCGUGUGUGAAGAAGGCCCUCGGGUUGUAAAGCACUUUCAGUGAGGAAGAACGCCUGGUGGUUAAUACCCAUCAGGAAAGACAUCACUCACAGAAGAAGCACCGGCUAACUCCGUGCCAGCAGCCGCGGUAAUACGGAGGGUGCGAGCGUUAAUCGGAAUUACUGGGCGUAAAGCGCGCGUAGGUGGCUUGAUAAGCCGGUUGUGAAAGCCCCGGGCUCAACCUGGGAACGGCAUCCGGAACUGUCAAGCUAGAGUGCAGGAGAGGAAGGUAGAAUUCCCGGUGUAGCGGUGAAAUGCGUAGAGAUCGGGAGGAAUACCAGUGGCGAAGGCGGCCUUCUGGACUGACACUGACGCUGAGGUGCGAAAGCGUGGGUAGCAAACAGGAUUAGAUACCCCUGUAGUC